AACUAUAACAGUCGAUGAGGAGAGGUUUUAGUUUCAUUAAACAUCCGUGCCCUAAUCAGGCGGAAGUCACCCUAGAUUUAAGUGAAUGCUUGCAUUCUAGUUUAUCAUGGGUCGAUGUGGAUUGUGCCGUGGCCGUUUCACCACCUUUAUAGCGGUGCUUUGACUAGCAAAAACUGAGGCUG
rnacentral:snoRNA from 1 species